AGAGUUUGAUCCUGGCUCAAGACGAACGCUGGCGGCGUGCCUAAUACAUGCAAGUCGAGCGAGCUUGCCUAGAUGAUUUUAGUGCUUGCACUAAAUGAAACUAGAUACAAGCGAGCGGCGGACGGGUGUGUAACACGUGGGUAACCUGCCCAAGAGACUGGGAUAACACCUGGAAACAGAUGCUAAUACCGGAUAACAACACUAGACGCAUGUCUAGAGUUUGAAAGAUGGUUCUGCUAUCACUCUUGGAUGGACCUGCGGUGCAUUAGCUAGUUGGUAAGGUAACGGCUUACCAAGGCAAUGAUGCAUAGCCGAGUUGAGAGACUGAUCGGCCACAUUGGGACUGAGACACGGCCCAAACUCCUACGGGAGGCAGCAGUAGGGAAUCUUCCACAAUGGACGAAAGUCUGAUGGAGCAACGCCGCGUGAGUGAAGAAGGGUUUCGGCUCUUAAAGCUCCUGUGGUAGUGAAGAAAGAUAGAGGUAGUAACUGGCCUUUAUUUGACGGUAAUUACUUUAGAAAGUCUCGGCUAACUACGGGCCAGCAGCCGCGGUAAUACGUAGGUGGCAAGCGUUGUCCCGGAUUUAUUGGGGCGUAAAAGCGAGUGUUGGCGGGUUCAAUAAGUCUGAUGUGAAAGCCUUCGGCUCAACCGGAGAAUUGCAUCAGAAACUGUUGAACUUGAGUGCAGAAGAGGAGAGUGGAACUCCAUGUGUAGCGGUGGAAUGCGUAGAUAUAUGGAAGAACACCAGUGGCGAAGGCGGCUCUCUGGUCUGCAACUGACGCUGAGGCUCGAAAGCAUGGGUAGCGAACAGGAUUAGAUACCCUGGUAGUCCAUGCCGUAAACGAUGAGUGCUAAGUGUUGGGAGGUUUCCGCCUCUCAGUGCUGCAGCUAACGCAUUAAGCACUCCGCCUGGGGAGUACGACCGCAAGGUUGAAACUCAAAGGAAUUGACGGGGGCCCGCACGAGCGGUGGAGCAUGUGGUUUAAUUCGAAGCAACGCGAAGAACCUUACCAGGUCUUGACAUCCAGUGCAAACCUAAGAGAUUAGGUGUUCCCUUCGGGGACGCUGAGACAGGUGGUGCAUGGCUGUCGUCAGCUCGUGUCGUGAGAUGUUGGGUUAAGUCCCGCAACGAGCGCAACCCUUGUCAUUAGUUGCCAUCAUUAAGUUGGGCACUCUAAUGAGACUGCCGGUGACAAACCGGAGGAAGGUGGGGAUGACGUCAAGUCAUCAUGCCCCUUAUGACCUGGGCUACACACGUGCUACAAUGGACGGUACAACGAGAAGCGAACCUGCGAAGGCAAGCGGAUCUCUUAAAGCUGUUCUCAGUUCGGACUGUAGGCUGCAACUCGCCUACACGAAGCUGGAAUCGCUAGUAAUCGCGGAUCAGCACGCCGCGGUGAAUACGUUCCCGGGCCUUGCACUCACCGCCCGUCA
rnacentral:rRNA from 1 species